UACGAGGGGGGCGAGCGUUGUUCGGAAUUAUUGGGCGUAAAGGGUGCGUAGGCGGUUCCGCAAGUCCUGUGUGAAAUCUUCGGGCUCAACUCGAAGUCUGCACGGGAAACUGCGGGGCUUGAGUGUGGGAGAGGUGAGUGGAAUUCCCGGUGUAGCGGUGAAAUUCGUAGAUAUUGGGAAGAACACCGGUGGCGAAGGCGGCUCACUGGCUCAUUACUGACGCUCAGGCGCGAUAGCGUGGGGAUCAAACAGG
rnacentral:rRNA from 1 species